GAGCAGUUAGCUCAGUUAGUAGAGCAUCUGACUUUUAAUCAGAGGGUCGCUGGUUCGAACCCAGCACGGCUCA
rnacentral:tRNA from 1 species